AUUGAACGCUGGCGGCAGGCCUAACACAUGCAAGUCGAGCGGUAGAGAGAAGCUUGCUUCUCUUGAGAGCGGCGGACGGGUGAGUAAUGCCUAGGAAUCUGCCUGGUAGUGGGGGAUAACGUUCGGAAACGGACGCUAAUACCGCAUACGUCCUACGGGAAAAAGCCGGGGACCGUCGGGCCUUGCGCUAUCAGAUGAGCCUAGGUCGGAUUGGCUAGUUGGGGAGGUAAUGGCUCACCAAGGCGACGAUCCGUAACUGGUCUGAGAGGAUGAUCAGUCAAACUGGAACUGAGACACGGUCCAGACUCCUACGGGAGGCAGCAGUGGGGAAUAUUGGACAAUGGGCGAAAGCCUGAUCCAGCCAUGCCGCGUGUGGGAAGAAGGUCUUCGGAUUGUAAAGCACUUUAAGUUGGGAGGAAGGGCAGUUACCUAAUACGUGAUUGUUUUGACGUUACCGACAGAAUAAGCACCGGCUAACUCUGUGCCAGCCGCCGCUGUAACAC
rnacentral:rRNA from 1 species